rnacentral:rRNA from 1 species
GACGUAGGAUGCAAGCGUUGUCCGGAUUUAUUGGGCGUAAAGAGGUCGUAGGCGGUUCGUUAAGUCUGAUGUUAAAGAUCGGGGCCCAACCCUGAGAGUGCAUUGGAUACUGGCGAACUGGAGUGCAGUAGAGGCGAGUGGAAUUCCCAGUGUAGCGGUGAAAUGCGUAGAUAUUGGGAAGAACACCGGUGGCGUAGGCGACUCGCUGGGCUGUAACUGACGCUGAGGAACGAAAGCCAGGGGAGCGAAUGGG